rnacentral:sRNA from 2 species
AUGGUAUAUGGACUUCAUGGACUACAGAGGAAAACAUAUGCUGAAAGCUUGCAGCCAGAAGAGCACAAAUGGACGGUCCAAAGCUUCACCUUGGUUUUUAUCAACCCUGCUUGGGCGACUUAAAACAUGCGGCGUUGUAUCUUGAUACCGAUGACCGGGAUGUAGUCUUUGAGGUUAUUAGAUUGCAUCCAGUCUUUCAGCACAACAUUGUGCAUUGAGAUCAAAACAUCCCAAGAAUUUUGUUGGCGAAGUCUUCAUUGCUGUGAUUAGCAAAAAUGACAUGUAAAGAGUAUACAAAGUUGUCAGUGCGACCCCUGUGGAUAACGACAUCAUGAAUUUGGAUUGCCAGGAGUAUGUGCCUGAUAUUCCCAACAAGCUAGAAUAUGAGUUUAUUUUGGAAGAGGGU